CCUUUGUACACACCGCCCGUCGCUACUACCGAUUGAAUGGCUUAGUGAGGUCUUGGGAUUGGCUUUGGGGAGCCGGCAACGGCACCCUAUUGCUAAAAACUUGAUCAAACUUGGUCAUUUAGAGG
rnacentral:rRNA from 1 species